CCUACGGGGGGCAGCAGUGGGGAAUAUUGCACAAUGGGGGAAACCCUGAUGCAGCAACGCCGCGUGAGCGAUGAAGGCCUUCGGGUCGUAAAGCUCUGUCCUAAGGGAAGAAUACUGACGGUACCUUAGGAGGAAGCCCCGGCUAACUACGUGCCAGCAGCCGCGGUAAUACGUAGGGGGCUAGCGUUAUCCGGAAUUACUGGGGGUAAAGGGGGCGUAGGCGGCACUGCAAGUCAGAGGUGAAAGGCUACGGCUCAACCGUAGUAAGCCUUUGAAACUGUAGGGCUUGAGUGCAGGAGCGGAUAGUGGAAUUCCGAGUGUAGCGGUGAGAUGCGUAGAUAUUGGGAGGGACACCAGUUGCGAAGGCGGCUCUCUGGACUGUAACUGACGCUGGGGCACGAAAGCGUAGGGAGCGAAUAGGAUUAGAUACCCUGGUAGUU
rnacentral:rRNA from 1 species